AUUGAACGCUGGCGGCAGGCCUAACACAUGCAAGUCGAGCGGAUGAAGGGUGCUUGCUCCUGGAUUCAGCGGCGGACGGGUGAGUAAUGCCUAGGAAUCUGCCUGGUAGUGGGGGCUAACGUCCGGAAACGGGCGCUAAUACCGCAUACGUCCUGAGGGAGAAAGGGGGGGAUCUUCGGACCUCCCGCUAUCACAUGAGCCUAGGUCGGAUUAGCUAGUUGGUGGGGUAAAGGCCUACCAAGGCGACGAUCCGUAACUGGUCUGAGAGGAUGAUCAGUCACACUGGAACUGAGACACGGUCCAGACUCCUACGGGAGGCAGCAGUGGGGAAUAUUGGACAAUGGGCGAAAGCCUGAUCCAGCCAUGCCGCGUGUGUGAAGAAGGUCUUCGGAUUGUAAAGCACUUUUAGUUGGGAGGAAGAGCAGUAAGUUAAUACCUUGCUGUUUUGACGUUACCAACAGAAUAAGCACCGGCUAACUUCGUG
rnacentral:rRNA from 1 species